rnacentral:rRNA from 1 species
UAGGGAAUCUUCGGCAAUGGACGAAAGUCUGACCGAGCAACGCCGCGUGAGUGAAGAAGGUUUUCGGAUCGUAAAACUCUGUUGUUAGAGAAGAACAAGGACGUGAGUAACUGAACGUCCCCUGACGGUAUCUAACCAGAAACCCACGGCUAACUACGUGCCAGCAGCCGCGGUAACACGUAGGUGGCAAGCGUUGUCCGGAUUUAUUGGGCGUAAAGCGAGCGCAGGCGGAUUCUUAAGUCUGAUGUGAAAGCCCCCGGCUCAACCGGGGAAGGUCAUUGGAAACUGGGAGGCUUGAGUGCAGAAGAGGAGAGUGGAAUUCCAUGUGUAGCGGUGAAAUGCGUAGAUAUAUGGAGGAACACCAGUGGCGAAGGCGGCUCUCUGGGCUGUAACUGACGCUGAGGCACGAAAGCGUGGGGAGCGAACAGG